rnacentral:rRNA from 1 species
CAAUAGCGUAUAUUAAAGUUGUUGCAGUUAAAAAGCUCGUAGUUGGAUUUCUGGUGGGAGCGAUCGGUCUGGCGCUUAGCGCGAGUACUUGCAUCGUCUCCGGCCAUCCUUGGGGAGAGUCUGUCUGGCAUUAAGUUUUCGGGCAGAGGAUCCUCAUCGUUUACUGUGAAAAAAUUAGAGUGUUCAAAGCAGGCUUAUGCCGUUGAAUAUAUUAGCAUGGAAUAAUAAGAUAGGACUUUGGUACUAUUUUGUUGGUUUGCGCACCAAAGUAAUGAUUAAUAGGGACAGUUGGGGGUAUUCGUAUUCCGUUGUCAGAGGUGAAAUUCUUGGAUUUACGGAAGACGAACUACUGCGAAAGCAUUUACCAAGGAUGUUUUCAUUAA